AUUCCAGCUCCAAUAGCGUAUAUUAAAGUUGUUGCGGUUAAAAAGCUCGUAGUUGGAUUUCUGCUGAGGAUGACCGGUCCGCCCUCUGGGUGAGUAUCUGGCUCAGCCUUGGCAUCUUCCUGAAGAACGUAUCUGCACUUGACUGUGUGGUGCGGUAUUUAGGACAUUUACUUUGAGGAAAUUAGAGUGUUUCAAGCAAGCGCACGCCUUGAAUACAUUAGCAUGGAAUAAUAAGAUAGGACCUCGGUUCUAUUUUGUUGGUUUGUGCACCAUGGUAAUGAUUAAUAGGGGCAGUUGGGGGUAUUCGUAUUCCAUUGUCAGAGGUGAAAUUCUUGGAUUUAUGGAAGACGAACUACUGCGAAAGCAUUUACCAAGGAUGUUUUCAUUA
rnacentral:rRNA from 1 species